GAUAGAUGAGAUUAAGGUUUCAUUUAACAGUAUAUUACUCUAAGCGAAAGCAAUUCCUUCACGAAAGUGUAAAUAUAUUAACAAUG
rnacentral:ncRNA from 1 species